rnacentral:tRNA from 1 species
UAGGAAGUAGUGUAGAGGAAGCACUAAGGGUUUUGAUCCCUUUAGGUGGGGUUCAAGCCCCCUCUUUCUAA